AUUGAACGCUGGCGGCAUGCCUUACACAUGCAAGUCGAACGGCAGCACGGGGAAACCUGGUGGCGAGUGGCGAACGGGUGCGUAAUGUAUCGGAACGUGCCAUUAAGUGGGGGAUAACGUAGCGAAAGUUACGCUAAUACCGCGUAUACCCUGAGGGGGAAAGCAGGGGAUCGCAAGGCCUUGUGCUCUUUGAGCGGCCGAUAUGAGAUUAGCUAGUUGGUGGGGGAAAGGCUCACCAAGGCGACGAUCUGUAGCGGGUCUGCGAGGAUGAUCCGCCACACGGGGACUGAGACACGGCCCAGACUCCUCCGGGAGGCAGCAGUGGGGAAUGUUGGACAAUGGGCGCAAGCCUGAUCCAGCCAUGCCGCGUGAGUGAAGAAGGCCUUCGGGUUGUAAAGCUCUUUCGGCCGGGAAGAAAUCGUACAGGUUAAUACCCUGUGUGGAUGACGGUACCGGAAUAAGAAGCACCGGCUAACUACGUGCCAGCCGCCGCCGUAACAC
rnacentral:rRNA from 1 species